rnacentral:tRNA from 1 species
GGGGCUGUAGCGCAGUUGGGAGCGUAUCUCAAUGGCAUUGAGAGGGUCACGGGUUCGAACCCCGUCAGCUCCACCA